rnacentral:rRNA from 1 species
UACUGUGAAACUGCGAAUGGCUCAUUAAAUCAGUUAUCGUUUAUUUGAUAGUACCUUACUACAUGGAUACCUGUGGUAAUUCUAGAGCUAAUACAUGCUAAAAACCCCGACUUCAGGAAGGGGUGUAUUUAUUAGAUAAAAAACCAACGCCCUUCGGGGCUCCUUGGUGAAUCAUAAUAACUUAACGAAUCGCAUGGCCUUGCGCCGGCGAUGGUUCAUUCAAAUUUCUGCCCUAUCAACUUUCGAUGGUAGGAUAGUGGCCUACCAUGGUGGCAACGGGUAACGGGGAAUUAGGGUUCGAUUCCGGAGAGGGAGCCUGAGAAACGGCUACCACAUCCAAGGAAGGCAGCAGGCGCGCAAAUUACCCAAUCCCGAUACGGGGAGGUAGUGACAAUAAAUACUGAUACGGGGCUCUUUUGGGUCUCGUAAUUGGAAUGAGAACAAUUUAAAUCCCUUAACGAGGAACAAUUGGAGGGCAAGUCUGGUGCCAGCAGCCGCGGUAAUUCCAGCUCCAAUAGCGUAUAUUAAAGUUGUUGCAGUUAAAAAGCUCGUAGUUGAACCUUGGGCCUGGCUGGCCGGUCCGCCUCACCGCGAGUACUGGUCCGGCUGGGCCUUUCCUUCUGGGGAACCUCAUGGCCUUCACUGGCUGUGGGGGGAACCAGGACUUUUACUGUGAAAAAAUUAGAGUGUUCAAAGCAGGCCUUUGCUCGAAUACAUUAGCAUGGAAUAAUAGAAUAGGACGUGUGGUUCUAUUUUGUUGGUUUCUAGGACCGCCGUAAUGAUUAAUAGGGAUAGUCGGGGGCGUCAGUAUUCAGCUGUCAGAGGUGAAAUUCUUGGAUUUGCUGAAGACUAACUACUGCGAAAGCAUUCGCCAAGGAUGUUUUCAUUAAUCAGGGAACGAAAGUUAGGGGAUCGAAGACGAUCAGAUACCGUCGUAGUCUUAACCAUAAACUAUGCCGACUAGGGAUCGGACGGGAUUCUAUAAUGACCCGUUCGGCACCUUACGAGAAAUC